rnacentral:rRNA from 1 species
UACGUAGGGUGCAAGCGUUAAUCGGAAUUACUGGGCGUAAAGCGUGCGCAGGCGGUUGUGCAAGACAGAUGUGAAAUCCCCGGGCUUAACCUGGGAAUUGCAUUUGUGACUGCACGGCUAGAGUGUGUCAGAGGGGGGUAGAAUUCCACGUGUAGCAGUGAAAUGCGUAGAUAUGUGGAGGAAUACCGAUGGCGAAGGCAGCCCCCUGGGAUAACACUGACGCUGAGGCGCGAAAGCGUGGGGAGCAAACAGG